rnacentral:rRNA from 1 species
GUGGCGUGCUUAACACAUGCAAGUCGAACGGAAAGGCCCUGCUUUUGUGGGGUGCUCGAGUGGCGAACGGGUGAGUAACACGUGAGUAACCUGCCCUUGACUUUGGGAUAACUUCAGGAAACUGGGGCUAAUACCGGAUAGGAGCUCCUGCUGCAUGGUGGGGGUUGGAAAGUUUCGGCGGUUGGGGAUGGACUCGCGGCUUAUCAGCUUGUUGGUGGGGUAGUGGCUUACCAAGGCUUUGACGGGUAGCCGGCCUGAGAGGGUGACCGGCCACAUUGGGACUGAGAUACGGCCCAGACUCCUACGGGAGGCAGCAGUGGGGAAUAUUGCACAAUGGGCGGAAGCCUGAUGCAGCAACGCCGCGUGCGGGAUGACGGCCUUCGGGUUGUAAACCGCUUUCGCCUGUGACGAAGCGUGAGUGACGGUAAUGGGUAAAGAAGCACCGGCUAACUACGUGCCAGCAGCCGCGGUGAUACGUAGGGCGCGAGCGUUGUCCGGAUUUAUUGGGCGUAAAGGGCUCGUAGGUGGUUGAUCGCGUCGGAAGUGUAAUCUUGGGGCUUAACCCUGAGCGUGCUUUCGAUACGGGUUGACUUGAGGAAGGUAGGGGAGAAUGGAAUUCCUGGUGGAGCGGUGGAAUGCGCAGAUAUCAGGAGGAACACCAGUGGCGAAGGCGGUUCUCUGGGCCUUUCCUGACGCUGAGGAGCGAAAGCGUGGGGAGCGAACAGGCUUAGAUACCCUGGUAGUCCACGCUGUAAACGGUGGGUACUAGGUGUGGGGUCCAUUCCACGGGUUCCGUGCCGUAGCUAACGCUUUAAGUACCCCGCCUGGGGAGUACGGCCGCAAGGCUAAAACUCAAAGGAAUUGACGGGGCCCCGCACAAGCGGCGGAGCAUGCGGAUUAAUUCGAUGCAACGCGUAGAACCUUACCUGGGUUUGACAUGGAUCGGGAGUGCUCAGAGAUGGGUGUGCCUCUUUUGGGGUCGGUUCACAGGUGGUGCAUGGCUGUCGUCAGCUCGUGUCGUGAGAUGUUGGGUUAAGUCCCGCAACGAGCGCAACCCUUGUUCACUGUUGCCAGCACGUUAUGGUGGGGACUCAGUGGAGACCGCCGGGGUCAACUCGGAGGAAGGUGGGGAUGACGUCAAGUCAUCAUGCCCCUUAUGUCCAGGGCUUCACGCAUGCUACAAUGGCUGGUACAGAGAGUGGCGAGCCUGUGAGGGUGAGCGAAUCUCGGAAAGCCGGUCUCAGUUCGGAUUGGGGUCUGCAACUCGACCUCAUGAAGUCGGAGUCGCUAGUAAUCGCAGAUCAGCAACGCUGCGGUGAAUACGUUCCCGGGGCUUGUACACACCGCCCGUCAAGUCAUGAAAGUUGGUAACACCCGAAGCCGGUGGCCUAACAGUUGUGGGGGAGCCGUCGAAGGUGGGACUGGUG